rnacentral:rRNA from 1 species
UUCCAGACUCCUACGGGAGGCAGCAGUGGGGAAUAUUGCGCAAUGGGCGAAAGCCUGACGCAGCGACGCCGCGUGAGGGAUGAAGGUCUUCGGAUCGUAAACCUCUGUCAGCAGGGAAGAACGGUCACUGUGCUAAUCAGCAGUGAAUUGACGGUACCUGCAAAGGAAGCUCCGGCUAACUACGUGCCAGCAGCCGCGGUAAUACGUAGGGAGCAAGCGUUGUCCGGAAUUACUGGGCGUAAAGGGCGCGUAGGUGGGCGCUUAAGUCAGGUGUGAAAACUCCGGGCUCAACCUGGAGACUGCACUUGAAACUGGGUGUCUUGAGGGCAGGAGAGGAAAGUGGAAUUCCUAGUGUAGCGGUGAAAUGCGUAGAUAUUAGGAGGAACACCAGUGGCGAAGGCGGCUUACUGGACUGUAACUGACGUUGAGGCUCGAAAGCGUGGGGAGCAAACAGGAUUAGAUACCCCAGUAAC